UUUCUGGAACUAAGGUGGCGACCUCUUC
rnacentral:sRNA from 1 species